rnacentral:rRNA from 1 species
GACGAACGCUGGCGGCGUGCUUAACACAUGCAAGUCGAACGAUGAAGCCCAGCUUGCUGGGUGGAUUAGUGGCGAACGGGUGAGUAACACGUGGGCAACCUGCCCCAAACUCUGGGAUAACUCCUCGAAAGAGGUGCUAAUACCGAAUACGAACUAGACAGACAUCUGUACUAGUUGGAAAGUCUUUCGGUUUGGGAUGGGCCCGCGGCCUAUCAGCUUGUUGGUGAGGUAACGGCUCACCAAGGCUACGACGGGUAACCGGCCUGAGAGGGCGACCGGUCACACUGGGACUGAGACACGGCCCAGACUCCUACGGGAGGCAGCAGUGGGGAAUAUUGCGCAAUGGGCGAAAGCCUGACGCAGCGACGCCGCGUGAGGGAUGAAGGUCUUCGGAUCGUAAACCUCUUUCAGUAGGGACGAAGCGAAAGUGACGGUACCUAAAGAAGAAGCACCGGCUAACUACGUGCCAGCCGCCGCAGUAA